CCUACGGGAGGCAGCAGUGAGGAAUAUUGGUCAAUGGACGAGAGUCUGAACCAGCCAAGUAGCGUGAAGGAUGACUGCCCUAUGGGUUGUAAACUUCUUUUAUAUGGGAAUAAACUGUUCCACGUGUGGGAUUUUGUAUGUACCCUAUGAAUAAGGAUCGGCUAACUCCGUGCCAGCAGCCGCGGUAAUCCGGAGGAUCCGAGCGUUAUCCGGAUUUAUUGGGUUUAAAGGGAGCGUAGGUGGGUUGUUAAGUCAGUUGUGAAAGUUUGCGGCUCAACCGUAAAAUUGCAGUUGAAACUGGCAGUCUUGAGUACAGUAGAGGUGGGCGGAAUUCGUGGUGUAGCGGUGAAAUGCUUAGAUAUCACGAAGAACUCCGAUUGCGAAGGCAGUUCACUGGACUGCAACUGACACUGAGGCUUGAAAGUGUGGGUAUCAAACAGGAUUAGAUACCCUAGUAGUC
rnacentral:rRNA from 1 species